GACGAACGCUGGCGGCGUGCUUAACACAUGCAAGUCGAACGGUAAGGCCCUUCGGGGUACACGAGUGGCGAACGGGUGAGUAACACGUGGGUGAUCUGCCCUGCACUUCGGGAUAAGCCUGGGAAACUGGGUCUAAUACCGGAUAGGACCACUGCCUGCAUGGGUGGUGGUGGGAAGCUUUUGCGGUGUGGGAUGGGCCCGCGGCCUAUCAGCUAGUGUGUGGGGUGAUGGCCUACCAAGGGGAAGGCGGGUAGCCGGCCUGAGAGGGUGGCCGGCCACACUGGGACUGAGGUACGGACCAGACUCCUACGGGAGGCAGCAGUGGGGAGUAUUGCACAAUGGGCGCAAGCCUGAUGCAGCGACGCCGCGUGAGGGAUGACGGCCUUCGGGUUGUGAACCUCUUUCAGCACCGACGAAGCGCAAGUGACGGUAGGUGCAGAAGAAGGACCGGCCAACUACGUGCCAGCAGCCGCCGUAA
rnacentral:rRNA from 1 species